rnacentral:tRNA from 4 species
GCGCCCGUAGCUCAAUUGGAUAGAGCGUUUGACUACGGAUCAAAAGGCUGGGGGUUCGAGUCCCUCCGGGCGCACCA